rnacentral:rRNA from 1 species
GUGCCAGCCGCCGCGGUAAUACGAAGGGGGCUAGCGUUGCUCGGAAUUACUGGGCGUAAAGGGCGCGUAGGCGGCUUGGCCAGUCAGGCGUGAAAUUCCUGGGCUUAACCUGGGGACUGCGCUUGAUACUGCCAGGCUUGAGGCCGAGAGAGGGUGGUGGAAUUCCCAGUGUAGAGGUGAAAUUCGUAGAUAUUGGGAAGAACACCGGUGGCGAAGGCGACCACCUGGCUCGGUACUGACGCUGAGGCGCGACAGCGUGGGGAGCAAACAGGAUUAGAUACCCUGGUAGUCCACGCCGUAAACGAUGUGUGCUGGAUGUUGGGGUUCCUAGAAUCUCAGUGUCGUAGCUAACGCGGUAAGCACACCGCCUGGGGAGUACGGCCGCAAGGUUGAAACUCAAAUAAAUUGACGG